rnacentral:misc_RNA from 1 species
GGAAGUAAAAUCGUAACAAGGUUUCCGUAGGUGAACCUGCGGAAGGAUCAUUAUUGUAUAACCGAGGUGCGAGGGCUGUCGCUGACCCGAAAGGUCGUGCACGCCCGAGUGCCCUCACACACAUCCAUCUCACCCCUAUGUGCACCACCGCGUGGGUCCCCCUUUGGCUUGUUCGGAGGGGGGCUUACGUUUUCACACAAACUUUGUAUGCAGUGUAGAAUGUAUUUUUUGUUUUUGCGAUCACGCAAUCAAUACAACUUUCAACAACGGAUCUCUUGGCUCUC